rnacentral:rRNA from 1 species
AGGGAAUCUUCGGCAAUGGACGCAAGUCUGACCGAGCAACGCCGCGUGAGUGAAGAAGGUUUUCGGAUCGUAAAACUCUGUUGUUAGAGAAGAACAAGGAUGAGAGUAAAAUGUUCAUCCCUUGACGGUAUCUAACCAGAAAGCCACGGCUAACUACGUGCCAGCAGCCGCGGUAAUACGUAGGUGGCAAGCGUUGUCCGGAUUUAUUGGGCGUAAAGCGAGCGCAGGCGGUUUCUUAAGUCUGAUGUGAAAGCCCCCGGCUCAACCGGGGAGGGUCAUUGGAAACUGGGGAACUUGAGUGCAGAAGAGGAGAGUGGAAUUCCAUGUGUAGCGGUGAAAUGCGUAGAUAUAUGGAGGAACACCAGUGGCGGAGGCGGCUCUCUGGUCUGUAACUGACGCUGAGGCUCGAAAGCGUGAGGAGCAAAC